rnacentral:lncRNA from 10 species
CGCGGGUCCCGAGCGUGGGCUUCCUUGGGGCCGAGAGCUUGGAGCGCCCCAGGCGCUGCCCCCCGCCUCCCUGCAGGACGCCGCCCUCGCGUCUCCGCUGCAGAGAAGCCCUUGCUGCCCGCCUCUCGCGGGCUCUGGGCUCUUUCUCACCAGGGACCGAGCUCUCAUUCGUUCAGCCUUCCCCGGCUGGAAUGCUGCAAAAGUGACGCUUUUCAUCAUGGGUGCAAAGUGUACAGCUGCAAUGUGGACUUGUUCCCUCUUACAACGAGUAGACAGACCCUCUCUGGGGAGAAAAGAAAGGCUGAAGAACCGAUUCCCAUGAGAGAACCCUAAGAAGACAGCAACAGAGGGCCAGACGCGCCCCUGGAACUGGACCCUGGACUGGGGCGGGAGGGCCACAGCCUUGGGAGCCCAGGUCCCUGCCCGCGCCUCCGACAGUCCCGCGCCGCCGCCACCCGGCAUCUGCCUCUGGGCCUCCACAUCUCGUGCCUGGAACCGCGUUCAUUGCGCACUGCACCAGUAAACACCUGAACACUCCCACCACAUGCUGCACGUUUAUUUGUAACAAAUUAGAAGCUGUUGUAAAAGAUAAAAAUUAAAACACUUAGACUGGGUGGGCGAGAGGCUCAUGAAUGUAAUCCCAGCACUUUGGGAGGCCAAGGCAGGAGGAUUGUUUGAGUCCAGGAGUUUCAGACCAGCCUGAGCAACAUAGUUAGAACCGUGUCG